GAUGAACGCUAGCUACAGGCUUAACACAUGCAAGUCGAGGGACCGGCGCACGGGUGAGUAACACGUAUCCAACCUGCCCUUUACUCGGGGAUAGCCUUUCGAAAGAAAGAUUAAUACCCGAUGUAAAGGAUGGGGAUGCGUUGAAUUAGGUUGUUGGUGUGGAAACGGCUCACCAAGCCUUCGAUGGAUAGGGGUUCGGAGAGGAAGGACCCCCACAUUGGAACUGAGACACGGUCCAAACUCCUACAGGAUGCAGCAGUGAGGAAUACUGGUCAAUGGGCGUUAGCCUGAACCAGCCAAGUAGCGUGAAGGAUGAAGGCUUAUGGGUCGUAAACUUCUUUUAUAUAAGAAUAUGUAUUAUAUGAAUAAGGAUCGGCUAACUCCGUGCCAGCAGCCGCGGUAAUAC
rnacentral:rRNA from 1 species